UCAUAUGCUGUCUCAAAGAUUAAGCCAUGCAUGUCUGAGUACUCGCCCUCGCACGGCGAAACCGCGAAUGGCUCAUUAAAUCAGUUAUGGUUCCUUAGAUCGUACAUUCCUACUUGGAUAACUGUGGCAAUUCUAGAGCUAAUACAUGCGAUUGAACCCUCGAAGCCGUCAAAAGCCGAGAGGGUGCUUUUAUUAGACCAAGACCAAACGUCCUCGGACGAUUGUUGUGGUGACUCUGGAUAACUAUGGCAGAUCGCACGGCCGCGGUGCCGGCGACGCAUCUUUCAAGUGUCUGCCUUAUCAACUGUCGAUGGUAGGUUAUGCGCCUACCAUGGUUGUAACGGGUAACGGGGAAUCAGGGUUCGAUUCCGGAGAGGGAGCCUGAGAAACGGCUACCACAUCCAAGGAAGGCAGCAGGCGCGCAAAUUACCCACUCCCGGCACGGGGAGGUAGUGACGAAAAAUAACGAUACGGGACUCUAACGAGGCUCCGUAAUCGGAAUGAGUACACUCUAAAGCCUUUAACGAGGAUCUAUUGGAGGGCAAGUCAGGUGCCAGCCGCCGCGGUAACCCCUGCUCCAAUAGCGUAUAUUAAAGUUGUUGCGGUUAAAAAGCUCGUAGUUGGAUCUCGGUCGAGCGCCCGGGGACGCGUCGAAAGGCGUCGGAUCCCCGGGGCCGGCGGCAGUGUCGGUGGUCUCCGUUGGCCUUCAAAAGCUGACGGGGUUCUCCGGCGAUUUUACUUUGAAAAAAUUAGGGUGCUCAAAGCAGGCUUGUGCCUGGAUAACUUUGCAUGGAAUAAUGGAACAGGACCUCGGUUCUGUUGUGUUGGUUUUCGGAAUCCGAGGUAAUGAUUAAGAGGGACAGACGGGGGCAUUCGUAUUGCGGCGCUAGAGGUGAAAUUCUUGGACCGCCGCAAGACGGACUACUGCGAAAGCAUUUGCCAAGAAUGUUUUCAUUAAUCAAGAACGAAAGUUAGAGGCUCGAAGACGAUCAGAUACCGUCCUAGUUCUAACCAUAAACGAUGCCGACCAGCGAUCCGCCCGAGUUCCUCAUACGUCUCGGCGGGCAGCUUCCGGGAAACCAAAGUCUUUGGGUUCCGGGGGGAGUAUGGUUGCAAAGCUGAAACUUAAAGGAAUUGACGGAAGGGCACCACCAGGAGUGGAGCCUGCGGCUUAAUUUGACUCAACACGGGAAAACUUACCCGGCCCGGACACCGGAAGGAUUGACAGAUUGACAGCUCUUUCUUGAUUCGGUGGGUGGUGGUGCAUGGCCGUUCUUAGUUGGUGGAGCGAUUUGUCUGGUUAAUUCCGAUAACGAACGAGACUCUAGCCUACUAAAUAGACCCACGGUCCGAGGUACCGUGCGCGGGUCUUCUUAGAGGGACGGGCGGCUUCUCGCCGCACGAAACGGAGCGAUAACAGGUCUGUGAUGCCCUUAGAUGUCCGGGGCCGCACGCGCGCUACACUGGAGGGAUCAGAACGUGUCUGCCCUUGUCCGAGAGGACCGGGUAACCGUGUGAACCCCCUCCGUGCUUGGGAUAGGGGAUUGUAAUUAUUCCCCUCGAACGAGGAAUUCCCAGUAGGCGCGAGUCAUCAGCUCGCGUCGAUUACGUCCCUGCCCUUUGUACACACCGCCCGUCGCUACCUCCGAUUGAACGAUUUAGUGAGGUCUUCGGACUGGUUCGCCGGGGGGCUCCGGCUCCCUUGCGGACGUGGAAGAUGACCGAACUUGAUCGUUUAGAGGAAGUAAAAGUCGUAACAAGGUUUCC
rnacentral:rRNA from 1 species